rnacentral:ncRNA from 2 species
CAGCGUUCUCAGGGCGGGGUGCAAUUCCCCACCGGCGGUAAUUGCAGGCAACUGCAAAAGCCCGCGAGCGCCCGGCAUCCGCCCUUGUGGACGCCGGGGUCAGCAGAUCUGGUGCGAUGCCAGAGCCGACGGUGACAGUCCGGAUGAAAGAGAUCGCGU